rnacentral:rRNA from 1 species
UACAGAGGGCCAAGCGUUGUUCGGAAUUAUGGUGCGUAAAGGGUGCGUAGGCGGCCUACUAAGUCGGAACGUGAAAUCCCCGGCUCAACUUGGGAACUGCAUCCGAUACUGGAUGGCUUGAAUUCGGGAGAGGGAUGCAGAAUUCCAGGUGUAGCGGUGAAAUGCGUAGAUAUCUGGAGGAAUACCGGUGGCGAAGGCGGCAUCCUGGACCGACAUUGACGCUGAGGAGCGAAAGCUAGGGGAGCAAACGGG